CCCCCAUAUUAUAUGGACCGGGCAUCUGGUUCAUAUCAAAGAUUCAUCGGUAACGGAUGGGCGUGCGGUUGAUUAGGUAGUUGGCGGGGUAACGGCCCACCAAGCCUACGAUCAAUAGCUGAUGUGAGAGCAUGAUCAGCCACACGGGCACUGAGACACGGGCCCGACUCCUACGGGAGGCAGCAGUAAGGAAUAUUGGGCAAUGGACGGAAGUCUGACCCAGCCAUGCCGCGUGGAGGAUGAAGGUCCUCUGGAUUGUAAACUUCUUUUAUCUGGGGCGAAAAAAGCCUUUUCUAAGGCGCUUGACAGUACCAGAUGAAUAAGCACCGGCUAACUCCGUGCCAGCAGCCGCGGUAAUACGGAGGGUGCAAGCGUUAUCCGGAUUCACUGGGUUUAAAGGGUGCGUAGGUGGGCUUGUAAGUCAGUGGUGAAAUCCCCGAGCUUAACUUGGGAACUGCCGUUGAUACUAUAAGUCUUGAAUAUCGUGGAGGUAAGCGGAAUAUGUCAUGUAGCGGUGAAAUGCUUAGAUAUGACAUAGAACACCAAUUGCGAAGGCAGCUUGCUACACGACCAUUGACACUGAGGCACGAAAGCGUGGGGAUCAAACAGGGUUAGAUACCCUGGUAGUCCACGCCCUAAACUAUGGAUACUCGACAUCAGCGAUACACUGUUGGUGUCUGAGCGAAAGCAUUAAGUAU
rnacentral:rRNA from 1 species